GGGCUCUUAGCUCAGCGGUAGAGCAGCGGACUCUUAAUCCGUUGGUCGAGUGUUCGAAUCACUCAGGGCCCA
rnacentral:tRNA from 1 species